rnacentral:lncRNA from 1 species
GAAUUUGAGCGCUAACAAAGUUGCUUUCCGACAGUUUGCACCCACUCAAUACCAAAAGCUCAUCACCCUAGAGAACUGGGCUUAGGGGUCCCACGCUCUGGGACCUUCUCCCUGACACUCCCAGGUGAACAACUGUUGAAGCUGCAACUAACUACGUGUAGCCCAGACUGCUUAGGCAUUUACCAGCUUUUGAAAGGAAACACUUUUUCGAAGAAGCACUAGAAAGAUUUCAGCUAUUGAGAACAGAGGAAGGAGGCGGGUGAAGUUGCAGGCACCGUUUUUUGCGCUCUCGAUCUUUCACCACCACUGUCUUUGUAGCCUGGGGCAAAGUGCAGACGAAAUCCCAAGCUGCAUCCCUGACUGCAUCUGGCAAACUGCACACAGGAGAGGAAUAGAAGAGGUCAAGCAGGACUGACGCUCUCCCUGAGCCUCGGAUGAACUGCCCAGAGGUAGAGAGCAGUCUACCUGGUUUGCUGCGUUUGGCUCUGGGAGCUCCUACAGGAGACACUGCAAAACAUGAAAGGAAAGCUUGCGGCCCUAACCCCAGAGAGCACUGACAAUUUCGCACAGAAAGGACGUCCUGGUUUCCGUUAGUUGAGUCUCCGCAAGCAGGGCUGAGAACUCAGAAACUCGACACAGGCAGAGCGCCGUAGGACGGGACUCGGGGGGUUGUUUGGAAGCAAGCUGAGAGGCCUGCAGUUGCUUAAGAAGUAAACGGAAGAAUGUGGAAAAGUGGCGCUCGGAGUUAAGAGGAUUCACCCAGAAAAGACGUGAGAGGCCUGUUGUAGCGUUCUCGAUUCUUAUCCCAACCACGGUCCUGAUCCAGCAC